rnacentral:rRNA from 1 species
UACGAAGGGGGCUAGCGUUGCUCGGAAUCACUGGGCGUAAAGCGCACGUAGGCGGCUUCUUAAGUCAGGGGUGAAAUCCUGGAGCUCAACUCCAGAACUGCCUUUGAUACUGAGGAGCUUGAGUCCGGGAGAGGUGAGUGGAAUUGCGAGUGUAGAGGUGAAAUUCGUAGAUAUUCGCAAGAACACCAGUGGCGAAGGCGGCUCACUGGCACGGUACUGACGCUGAGACGCGAAAGCGUGGGGAGCAAACAGG